AUUGAACGCUGGCGGCAUGCCUUACACAUGCAAGUCGAACGGUAACGGGUCCUUCGGGAUGCCGACGAGUGGCGAACGGGUGAGUAAUAUAUCGGAACGUGCCCAGUAGUGGGGGAUAACUGCUCGAAAGAGCAGCUAAUACCGCAUACGACCUGAGGGUGAAAGGGGGGGAUCGCAAGACCUCUCGCUAUUGGAGCGGCCGAUAUCAGAUUAGCUAGUUGGUGGGGUAAAGGCCUACCAAGGCAACGAUCUGUAGUUGGUCUGAGAGGACGACCAGCCACACUGGGACUGAGACACGGCCCAGACUCCUACGGGAGGCAGCAGUGGGGAAUUUUGGACAAUGGGCGCAAGCCUGAUCCAGCAAUGCCGCGUGCAGGAAGAAGGCCUUCGGGUUGUAAACUGCUUUUGUCAGGGAAGAAAUCUUCUGGGCUAAUACCCCGGGAGGAUGACGGUACCUGAAGAAUAAGCACCGGCUAACUACGUGCCAGCAGCCGCGGUAAUACGUAGGGUGCGAGCGUUAAUCGGAAUUACUGGGCGUAAAGCGUGCGCAGGCGGCUUUGCAAGACAGAUGUGAAAUCCCCGGGCUCAACCUGGGAACUGCAUUUGUGACUGCAAGGCUAGAGUACGGCAGAGGGGGAUGGAAUUCCGCGUGUAGCAGUGAAAUGCGUAGAUAUGCGGAGGAACACCAAUGGCGAAGGCAAUCCCCUGGGCCUGUACUGACGCUCAUGCACGAAAGCGUGGGGAGCAAACAGGGUUAGAUACCCUGGUAGUCCACGCCCUAAACGAUGUCAACUGGUUGUUGGACGGCUUGCUGUUCAGUAACGAAGCUAACGCGUGAAGUUGACCGCCUGGGGAGUACGGCCGCAAGGUUGAAGCUCAAAGGAAUUGACGGGGACCCGCACAAGCGGUGGAUGAUGUGGUUUAAUUCGAUGCAACGCGAAAAACCUUACCUACCCUUGACAUGUCAAGAAUUCUGCAGAGAUGUGGAAGUGCUCGAAAGAGAACUUGAACACAGGUGCUGCAUGGCCGUCGUCAGCUCGUGUCGUGAGAUGUUGGGUUAAGUCCCGCAACGAGCGCAACCCUUGUCAUUAGUUGCUACGCAAGAGCACUCUAAUGAGACUGCCGGUGACAAACCGGAGGAAGGUGGGGAUGACGUCAGGUCCUCAUGGCCCUUAUGGGUAGGGCUACACACGUCAUACAAUGGCCGGUACAGAGGGCUGCCAACCCGCGAGGGGGAGCCAAUCCCAGAAAACCGGUCGUAGUCCGGAUCGUAGUCUGCAACUCGACUGCGUGAAGUCGGAAUCGCUAGUAAUCGCGGAUCAGCUUGCCGCGGUGAAUACGUUCCCGGGUCU
rnacentral:rRNA from 1 species